rfam:Flavobacterium sp. LM5 Flavobacterium_sp_LM5_contig2, whole genome shotgun sequence.
UUUUUGCGUUAGGGAUAGAAGUGAAAAUCCUUUUUUGCCUUUUUUCGGGCAAAAAAGAUUGUAACGGAUAGCCCGACCCGCC